rnacentral:lncRNA from 1 species
GACUAUGUAUCGCCGACCUUUUCAUUUAUAUAUGCACAUGCGGAAGCGGUUAUAAAUCCCCAGACAAUAAAACAAUGGGAUAUACAAGUAGGGCUAGGAAAUUGAACCCGAAAACCACACCAUUGCAAUCAUACACAAGCCAUACUAAUACGAUUGGUUUCUACUCAAAUUGAUUCUAUAACAAUCGUCAUCAGGAUCCUACUCUGGAUCAUCCUCGGGGUUCUCCUUCACGUACUCCUCCUCAGGUUCCUCAACAGGGAUCUCCUCAUCAGAUUCAUGCUCCUUAGGCUCCUCAUCCAGGUCCUGAAAUGGUUAUUCAAUAACCACUGAGACAACGUCUCAGCAAGUUCUACCCUCUAAGACCCGAUUAGUAAACUAAUACACCUUAGGGCUGCCUAUGCACAACAUGAGUCAGAGGACUUACCUUGGCCUCAGAUUCCACCUGCAUAUUAGCAUAGAUCAUACAGGCACCCAAGCAAUCAUAUUAUAGAUCGAAGCAUCGAUCUAAUCGACCUAGUCGAUUACACGCCAAGAAGACC